rnacentral:piRNA from 1 species
UAGGCCUUGAGUACCUUGUAACCAAAUUCU